GUUUAGAUAGCUCAGUUGGUAGAGCAAAGGACUGAAAAUCCUUGUGUCGGCAGUUCAAACCUGCCUCUAGACA
rnacentral:tRNA from 1 species